rnacentral:rRNA from 1 species
GAUGACGUCAAGUCAUCAUGGCCCUUACGUCCAGGGCUACACACGUGCUACAAUGGGGUAUACAAAGAGCAGCAAUACGGUGACGUGGAGCAAAUCUCAAAAAUGCCUCCCAGUUCGGAUUGUAGUCUGCAACUCGACUACAUGAAGUUUGGAAUCGCUAGUAAUCGUAGAUCAGCUAUG